CCUACGGGUGGCAGCAGUGGGGAAUAUUGGGCAAUGGGCGCAAGCCUGACCCAGCAACGCCGCGUGAAGGAAGAAGGCUUUCGGGUUGUAAACUUCUUUUGACAGGGAAGAGCAGAAGACGGUACCUGUCGAAUAAGCCACGGCUAACUACGUGCCAGCAGCCGCGGUAAUACGGAGGAUGCGAGCGUUAUCCGGAUUUAUUGGGUUUAAAGGGUGCGCAGGCGGAAGAUCAAGUCAGCGGUAAAAUUGAGAGGCUCAACCUCUUCGAGCCGUUGAAACUGGUUUUCUUGAGUGAGCGAGAAGUAUGCGGAAUGCGUGGUGUAGCGGUGAAAUGCAUAGAUAUCACGCAGAACUCCGAUUGCGAAGGCAGCAUACCGGCGCUCAACUGACGCUCAUGCACGAAAGUGUGGGUAUCGAACAGGAUUAGAUACCCCAGUAGUC
rnacentral:rRNA from 1 species